rnacentral:snRNA from 1 species
AAACUUAUCUGGCAGGGGAGAUACCAUGAUCAUGAAGGUGGUUUUCCCAUUGCGAGACUUAUCCAUCGUACUCUGGAUGUGCUGACCCCUGCGAUUUCCCAUUAAAAAAAAAAGUAUGAAAAUAAAUGAGCUAGACAUCUACUAUCAC